AUACGGAGGAUCCGAGCGUUAUCCGGAUUUUAUUGGGUUUAAAGGGUGCGUAGGCGGAAAAAUAAGUCAGUUGUGAAAGUUUGCGGCUCAACCGUAAAAUUGCAGUUGAUACUGUUUUUCUUGAGUGUACAUAAGGUAGGCGGAAUUCGUGGUGUAGCGGUGAAAUGCUUAGAUAUCACGAAGAACUCCAAUUGCGAAGGCAGCUUACCGGGGUACAACUGACGCUGAGGCACGAAAGUGUGGGUAUC
rnacentral:rRNA from 1 species